UACGUAGGGCGCUAGCGUUGUUCGGAUUUACUGGGCGUAAAGCGCUCGUAGGCGGCUCGAUCAGUCAGUGGUGAAAUCCCAGAGCUCAACUCUGGAACUGCCUUUGAUACUGUCGAUCUGGAGUAUGGAAGAGGUGAGUGGAACUGCGAGUGUAGAGGUGAAAUUCGUAGAUAUUCGCAAGAACACCAGUGGCGAAGGCGGGUCACUGGCCCGGUACUGACGCUGAGGUGCGAAAGCGUGGGGAGCAAACAGG
rnacentral:rRNA from 1 species